GGGAUAAGUCUCUGCAGUUCUUCGUCCUCCACCUCGGGAGCCCCCGGUGACUGUCACAAUCUUUGUUGCCCUGUGAUAUGCAGGUUCUGGGAGACGCACAGCUAAGAUGCCAGGACAUCCUGGAAGAUGGGAAAAGGUUCUGCCGACAAAGGAGAUUAUGACAUAUUGCUGGGCCUAACACUAAGGUGAUGUUACUUACUUGCUUUGGCUGUGCCCUUGGAAGGCAUUGAGACAUACUGCUGUGCCCAGCACCAAGAUGAUGUAAUGUGACUCUUCUCUUCUGCUUAAGGCCUGCCAAAAGAAAAGAUUGUGACAGAUCACCGGACCCAGCACCUAGGAGGGGAUUGUAACAUCCCUGGUGAAGCCCCCAGUGAUGUGAUUCUCCUGCUUGAUGCCUGCCCUCAAGGAGGAUUGUGACAUAGCCCUGGCGCAACACACAAUUGAUGUCACUCUUGCAUUUGCUCUUUACAUACAGGUGUGAUUGUGACAUAUGUCUUUGUUAUGCACCGGAGUGGUCUGAUGCUCCUGUCUUGGUUCAUCCCAAAGUGAAGAUUGUGAUGUAUCACUGGACCCAGCAUCUCGGUGAUGUGACUCUUGUUUUUGGACACCAUAAAUUUUGGGUAUUGUCAAAUAUUGCUGGAUCCUGUACCUAUGUUAUGUGACUCUCCAACCCGUGUCCUGCAUGUUGUGCCAUAUUGCAGCACAAUGUUUCACAUUAGACAUCAUUACAUAUUGCUGGGCUCAACACCCAGGUGAUGGAACAUUAUUUUCCUGGGCCCUGACUACAGGGGGUUUGUGACAUAACUGAAUGCCCAUAACCAUGGUGAUGUUACUCUUCUCCUGCCUGGUCUCUGCUCACAGGGAAAUUGUGACAUACCAUUGGCCUAGCAUCUUGGUGAUGUGACUCUCCUUUUUUCUCAGGCCCCACAUAUUUGGGUAAUGUGACAUACUCAGAUGUGACACUGGGCUCAACACCUAAGGGAUGGGGAGUCCCCUACCUGGCUCCUUCCUCCAGGGGUCAUUGUCAUAUACCUUUGCACAGGUAUGUCACAGUUAUUACCUAGGAGAUGUGACUCUCCUCUUUUGCCUGCACCCUGCCUACAGUGAAAAUUGUGGCACAUUUCUGUGGCCAGCAACCAGGUGAUGUGUUUCUCCUGCCUGGAUCUUUAUUACAGAAAAGAUGGUUGACAUAUCACUAGGCCCAGCAUCUAGGUGAUGUGACUCUAUUCUUCUGCCUGGUCCCUGCUUACAGGAACAUUGUAGCAUAUUGCUAUGCCCAGCACUUUUCUUUUAGGUUUUGCCUACAGGAGACUUUGUGACGUUGCUGGGCCCUGCACUGACAUUAUGUGACUCUUAUGUCUCUGUUUUGUCCACUUGGGCCACUGUGACAUAUUGCUGGGUCCAACAUCCAGGUGAUGUAACUUUUACGCCUGGGGCCUGGCAUCUGAGGACAUUGUCUUUGCACCAAUCACACAGGUGAUGUGAUUUUCUUCUGUUACCUGGUCUGUGCACACAGGAAGAAUUGUGACCUUGGCCAGGUACAGUGGCUCACGCCUGUAAUCACAGCACUUUGGGAGGCCGAGGUGAGUGGAUAUCUGAGGUCAGGAGUUUGAGACCAGCCUGGCCAACAUGGUGAAACCCCGUCUUAGUUAAAACACAAAAAUUAGCUGGGCAUGGCGACAGGCACCUGUAGUUCUAGCUACACAGGAGGCUGAGGCAGGAGAAUCGCUUGAACCAGGGAGGUGGAGAUUGCAGUGAGCCGAGAUCACGCCACUGCACUGCAGCCUAGGUGACAGAGCGAGACUCCAUCUCAAAAAAAAAGGAUCGUGACCUUUUGCAGCACACAGCUGAUUUGACUGUGCUUUGUGGAGUAUACCAAGCAGGUUGUCAAACUGAUGGUCCCUUUACUGAAAUUUUAUUUCCACGAUGGUGUUGGAGGGGCAGCAGCAGAAUCCGUGCCUUUUCUCUUGGAGUGUGCGAGAGUCUGUAGUCCUGAGUAUCUCACACAGAUGUGGCAAUUUAUGUGAUGUUCUAAUUAAGACCAUUAGUACAGAAAGAGAUUCAGACGUCUUCUCGGAAAUAAUGCAUUGUUUAGCAAAGUGCAUUGAAGUAAUGGGAGAUGGAUGCCUUAGUAAUGAACACUUUGAAGAACACCUUUGCCACAUGUCCUCAGGACCUUUUGAGGGCUGUGUCAUGGGGCAUGGUCACUCAUAUUUGACUCUGAAUAAAUUUCUUCAAAUAUUUUAAA